rnacentral:pre_miRNA from 1 species
CUACUACUCCCUUCGUUCUGAAUUACUUGUCGCAGGUAUGGAUGUAUCUAGAUGUAUUUUCAUUCUAGAUACAUCCAUUUCUGUGACAAGUAAUUUGGAAAGGAGGGAGUAUUAG